ACAACUGUUUAUUUAUUAUACUGCUCCAAAUACCUUCGACGAAAUCAAAUGUAACCAUAUCAACGUAAGUAAUAAUAUAAACAAAUCCAAAUUUUUCGUCUUGCCAUUCCUCCUUGCAUAUUCCUCCAUUUCUAAAUAGUGUAAAUUACGAGCCACCUGUUAACUCAACCAUAUUGCUUCAUGUAAAAACGCUGUUUUGUUAUGAUUCAUUUUACCUAAAUAUUUUUCUUUUUCAGUUUCUAACCGCAUAAAACAAUAACGAAUGUUUUACGCGGGCGUAGAACGAGGAGUUGAUAAGUGAUAAGGAGCGAAAUGUUUUUUCGGCAAACUAAUCAUUGGAGGCUAAAAACGACAGAAAUCCACGUGCAUUGCGAUGAUGACAUUUGACUGAUGCUCUGACUAACGUUUACUUUUUCCCUUCUUCCGUUUUCAACAGAUCACAACCAACCGCAGCAAUGAAUUGCUCCCCUUCGAUCGACCAGGAAGUCCCAGGAAGCUAUGGAUAUCAGUUUGGCAAAUCGUACCGCCAGCAGCGUGAAGCAACUGUUACGCACCGAGCAAUCAUCAGCAAAAAAGAAAAUUACAAUUCGGACAAAAACGACUCGGAUGAGGAGCAGUAGCACCAGCGCAGAUCGUCUGUGCUGUUUCAGUUACACACUGUCCGCAGCCAAAAUUCUCACCAGCUGAUGGACAAUAUGUUCGAAAGUUCGAUAGUUCCAAUCACAUCGCCACAACAAUAAUAACAAUUACAGCGGGAAGCGUCCGCACUCGCUUAUCACGGCUAGCAACAUUCUACAGCAGCUCUUUGUGAUGGCCCUCAGCGACGACUACCAACAGCAGCCCACAAACCCUAUCAUCAAAGCAUGAUUUCCGGAGCAUAUCCGAUCGCUCAACAACAGAAAAUUCGCGUCCGGGGGUUGACAGAGAGUCAUUUUGUGUAUAAAAUUGCUCCAAAGUGAUUUCGUCCGCUUCCUUGCUGGAACCGUCGGCGAAGAUAACGGUACGAACGUGGUGUACGAGAACUAUUUUAGCAGAUCCAAUGUUCCGCUGCUCAAGCGAUGAGGAAGGGCUGGUGGCUUCCGGCUCGGCGUGCAAGAGCGACGACUGCGACACAGAAGAUUCAAAUCAAUCGUCGAUACAACAGAAGAAAAAAUCCACCUGCAACCUAGCGCCAAACCAAGUCAGUUGCCUCUACUGUCAAUGCAUGUUCCCCUCGGACAACUUCAGGAGAUUGCUAUCUCGUCGAAUGAACUGCUCAUGACAGAUUCCGCCGCGAAGGAGUAUUUUACUGACAUUGACCUCCAAGGGAGGAAUGUUAGAAAACAGAAAAGAAAGGUGCCUCGAUUCAAAGCUAUAAUGUGGCCGAGUGAAAAACAUACAACAUACAUGGCUACAAUAACCAGUCCGUGAGUGACCAAACUAAAUGAUUUCGGUACCAUGCAGCUUCCAUCGGGAUUACCAGUGAAAAUAGAAAUCGAGCUAUUCCAUGUGUUAAACGCGAUUGUUGCAUUUGGCAACGUAUUCGCGAUAGGGACACCCGUGAUCAACGUGAGCCACAACAUUAAGAGUAAAGAGCGUACGACAUGCAUUAUCGAGGAUUUGUGUUUCGAUGUCCCAUCCGAGUAUGUACGACGUGGUUACCAAGAUAGAAUGUGCGUAUAUAAUACUGCAUAUUUAGAUACUAGGAUGAUCAUUAUACCGAUAUACGACAUAAUCCAUCAAUGAUAAGAAAAUCAUGUUUUUGCAUUAAGCGAUUUCGGAUACUCAUGAUCAGUGUUGGAAAAAAAUCAUCUUCGCUAAGAUCAAAUGCAUAGUAGAUUUUCGGGCUAGAUUGCAUCGAAAACCUAUAUAUUCCAAACGAAAAUUAAAAUGACAG